UAUCUCUUGUUCCUCUGCAUAAACCGAGAAAAUCUUUCGCCUUUUACUAAAGAUUUCCGUGCAGAGGAGCAAUUAUGAGUUAACUCUAAUUUUUUGAAGUCCCGACUUAGGUCAGGGACA
rnacentral:snRNA from 1 species